AAGAUCCUAAGUUUUGCUUUCUUGCUUUUUGAUUGGUGAUUCUUUUUUUAAUCUUUGCAUCUAUGUAUUUAACAGGUAUGUUAUUUUAUACUUUCAAACCAGUUUUGAUUUUUGUAAAAAAAAAUACUACAUAAUUUUGUACUAGGAAUGAUGGUUUGUAUGGUGAAUAUUGGUGAAACAUGUAUUGUGCAGGUGAACUGGUUAAAUUCUUAUUACUAGAUUUAAUUCAAAACUUGCAUACCACAUGCUCGAUAAAAUGCUCGUGAGAGAAUUUGAGGUGACUUUGGUGCAUAAAAAUGAAUCAAACCUUAUAAUUUAAUAUACACUUCAUUAAUGAUAUUUUAGUUUUUUUUUUUUUUGGAUGCUGAAGUAAAUCCAGGUGUUAAGCUAAGUGGUGCUUCAAGAUUGGAAAGAAAUUUGCAACUUGAGUAUCUGUUGUGAAGGUCUACUUUUUGUGGUUACAUAUAGUUGAGUUUAUAGCAUGUGUUUCUCCUUUGGGGUUUAGCACAUACACCAUUGCAUGUAGUAUGCAUGAUUCUGUAAGUUAUAAUAUUAGCUAGCCAAAAUGUUUAGUUUGAUUGUCACAAGGUCUCUGUGCAUGUGUGAGUCCUGGUAUAGUUUCUUAAUAUCAAAUAUAAGAAACUAUGUUCUGUCAUUUCUGAACCCAAAAAAUGAGAACCAGCCAUUAUAUCAGUUUGGACCAUGUUUUUUUUCUUGGCCUCCCUCACAAAGGUUAUGUGUCCCAACAGUAGGCUACACCAUGAAUCUGCUGGUUCCUAAUCCCUCUUUCUUAGGUUUUUGUUUGUUGAAAUUAACUUGUUCAAUGCAAUGAGCCCAUAGAUCCUAGAUCCUGAAAAAGAGUGGUCUUUGGUUUUUGAUAAACAAAGAAGAGAAAUAAGUGAACUUUGGAAUGAAUGUAACACACCUUUGAUUCACAAACUCUACUUUUUAUUGCUAUUUAAAGGCGAUCGAUUUGAUUCCUUGUACAUGGAGGUUGAGCUUCUAAGACUCUUUUUUAAAGCACAUGCAAUAUCAUGCUACCAGUUGCGAAAAGAGUAAUGCUGAGCAAGAAAAUGUUAAAGAUGUUUUCAUCAAUCCAACAGUGCGCGUGCUCUCAGUUGCGAAAACAGUGGCGGCUAUGGAACAGAGUUAUUUAUAAUAACGAUCAGGUCUUUGUGAGCAAGGUUGUGGAGGAUAUCAAAGCGUUGGGUUACUUGUGGAUCAAACACCGGUCGAAAAUGUUAGAGUCAGUCUCCUUGGAUUAAAAGCCAAGGAUCUUGACGCUUGUAUUUCAACUAAAAUAACAUUUUUAGUAUUCUAGAGGCGACACUUUCACCCGUUCUCCUAGAAAUAGGUAAAGGGCAUUUCUCAGUUGCCACUUGACCUGUCCUGUACUGAACCGCAACCAGAAAUCUAAGAAUGGCGAAACCAAGAACCAGACCAAUCUAAACUUCAAAAUUGGUUUGGUAUUUUGGAUCCAACUUUUCGGAAACACUUCCUAGCGUUCUCAGACAAUUGAAACUGGUUUAGUAUUUACCCACGAGCAACUCAAUCCAUCUGCAAGUGAUUCCAUUCUGCCCCAUUCUAAAUCUUCGAUUUAUUUGAAAAGAUUACGGGUUCGGGUUCUGCAAGCAAGAAAUGUACGUAUAUGGAGGGCGUAGUACGUACGCUAAUCUAGCUACCAGAUUAGUUUAUUUUUUUCUUUUAUACACCCAUGCGCCACUUUGCAAUUUAGGUGAUUUUUAACGAGCUCACUUGUUUUUUUUCUUAAAUUUAUUAAGUUUAAUGAGCUGUAGGAGUCAAUAAUAACCAAGAUCUGAUUUUUAUGUAAAUUCGUUGAGUACAAUUAUAAGAUUCAGAUUUGGUUGUUAUUUGCUUAGUGAUAUAGCAUAACAUGUGUGAGCUUUAUGUGUGUUUGUAAGAUAGAUCAGUUUUUUUUUU